UGUUUCGGCUAGGGGGCCAUCCCGGCUUACCAACCCGAUGCAAACUGCGAAUACCGGAGAAUGUUAUCACGGGAGACACACGGCGGGUGCUAACGUCCGUCGUGAAGAGGGAAACAACCCAGACCGCCAGCUAAGGUCCCAAAGUCAUGGUUAAGUGGGAAACGAUGUGGGAAGGCCCAGACAGCCAGGAUGUUGGCUUAGAAGCAGCCAUCAUUUAAAGAAAGCGUAAUAGCUCACUGGUCGAGUCGGCCUGCGCGGAAGAUGUAACGGGGCUAAACCAUGCACCGAAGCUGCGGCAGCGACACUCAGGUGUUGUUGGGUAGGGGAGCGUUCUGUAAGCCUGCGAAGGUGGCCUGUGAGGGUUGCUGGAGGUAUCAGAAGUGCGAAUGCUGACAUAAGUAACGAUAAAGCGGGUGAAAAGCCCGCUCGCCGGAAGACCAAGGGUUCCUGUCCAACGUUAAUCGGGGCAGGGUGAGUCGACCCCUAAGGCGAGGCCGAAAGGCGUAGUCGAUGGGAAACGGGUUAAUAUUCCCGUACUUGGUGUUACUGCGAAGGGGGGACGGAGAAGGCUAUGUUGGCCGGGCGACGGUUGUCCCGGUUUAAGCGUGUAGGUGUGUGUUCCAGGUAAAUCCGGUUCACUUUAACACUGAGGCGUGACGACGAGGCACUACGGUGCU
rnacentral:rRNA from 1 species